CAACUACUCCCUUAUCCCAAAUUUCUUGUCUUAGAUUUGUCUAGAUACAGAUGUAUCUAAUACUAAAAUGUGACUUGAUACAUCUGUAUCUAGACAAAUCUAAGACAAGAAUUUUGGGACGGAGGGAGUACUUU
rfam:Triticum aestivum genome assembly, contig: Triticum_aestivum_CS42_TGACv1_scaffold_485187_6AS